UCAUUAUCUACCAUAAUAAUUGUUUAAGUUCCUCGAGAUAUCAUAUGAAAACUAGGUAUUAGUAUGUUGUCGGACAGACCAAUACAAAUAAUGUAUGUGUAAUUUUAAUGCUCUAUAGUUAUCUAGCUUGCCGGCUACCGCAGUAAAACAUUUUUCCCGGCAGCAAGGCAAGGGGAGGUGUUGCAGGAAGCAGCCAUCAUUCCAUCAGUAGACAGCGGAUACUAUAAAUCGUAUUUACAGAGUAUAGUUGUUAAAACAUUGAUUAUAACAAAGUCCGCCGUCAUCCGCUCAGGAUUUAUAUCGUUCCUCCUGAUGAAGAACAUUUCCUCCCCAUCUGAGGCCUCACUCUCCAUUACAAGUCACCGCCGCGCCGGGACCAGCAAGGAUCAUCAGAUCAGAGGAGUAAACUAGUCAUCCCAGAGUGGCUAUCAGUUGGGUGCCUGGAAGCCUCCAUGCAGACUUUCCCUGGUUAAAGGAUGGAGCUGAGAAAUAAAAGGCUGUUUCUGCUCCUUCAAAACUUCAGCUCUGGGAGACAUCCUGACACACAUGCAGGAGGUUCUUGACACUGGCCUUUAGUAUCAAGAAAAACUGGGCCCACCAUCGUCUUUCUGAGAAAAUUCAGCAUUACAUAAGCAUGAGUCUGCAACAGUAAUGUAAAAAAUACAUAUGAAAAUGAGGGCUAAAUAAACUCAGACAUUUUCUUAUGCUUAUUUUCCCUCAACUCCUUAGUACUCAACUAUUUUUCAUCGUAGGAUUUUCAGGCAUGUAUACACAACCUACACAGUUCCCUGAUUAUAUUGGUAUAGAAUACAUUUCAAUGUAAAAAUAUCUAGAGGGUCAAAAUUGCUUCGGAACAUAGUCUGUGUCACGAAAGAGUUCAUUUGCCUCGGGAUUUGUUUACCAGCCUCAGAGCCCAUACCCGAUGCUCCUACACAGCAGCAGUAGGGAGCUAUUCCAGUUUGUCCUGCCUAGAUAUGUGUAUUAAACUUCUAUAGGCUGUUUUUUUCUGAGUUUCCUGUGUGUCAGCAAUAUAUUCUGUGGUUAUAAUGAU